CGUCACUCCGAGCAUGGCGGCGACAAUAAACUUUUAACUCCUAGUGGAGCUCCAGUAGAGCCUUCGUUUUCAAGUUCCUUUUACUUUUCUUUGGGGACAAGUUCCUUUUACUACUGCCUUUAUCCAAGUAGUGUGUGCGUCCCUUAGUUUGGUGAAUCGUAAAUGCUCUACUGCUUUGUUUCAGAAUCUCCGGUGUCUUCGUAGUACGAGUUUUUGCAUGACCUGUGUGUACUGUCUGCGUGAGUCUGUCUACCUCAGGACUAGUCUACGCGUGACCUGUGUGUACUGUCUGCCUGAGUCUGUCUACCUCAGGACUAGUCUACGCGUGUGUUGUGUGCACCGAGGCGUACACGAUCGAUAGUUUUCCUUUGGGAGGGGAUGACGUCAUGGCUACUUUAUUGAUCUGAUAAUAUCAGUACAUCCUUCACGAAAGGAGCUUACAAAGAAAAUCAGAGAAUUCCCCCUGCAAAAAAAAAAAAACCCAGAGAAUUCAUCGACCCAAUUAGGAAAGACAUCAUGAUCAUAAGCGUAUGUAGGGGUUGUUUGGAUAGGUGGAAUGUACAGAACGAAUUCUCUAAACCAGGAAAGCAGUCUAACAGGAUAAAACCACGUGGAU
rnacentral:lncRNA from 1 species